AGUACGAGAUGCUACGUCAUCGAAGCAGUCUAUGUCAUACUUCCAAGAAAAGCUUGCAAUGUCAUAAACAAAUAAUGCCUGUACCAUAACCGACACAGGUGGGUAGGUAGAGUAUACUAAGGGGCGCGAGAUAACUCUCUCUAAGGAACUCGGCAAAAUGACUCCGUAACUUCGGGAGAAGGAGUGCCUUAUUUUUAUAAGGUUGCAAUAACAAGAUCCAAGCAACUGUUUACCAAAACCACAGGUCUCCGCUAAGUCGUAAGACGAUGUAUGGGGGCUGACGCCUGCCCAGUGCCAGAAGGUUAAAGAAGUUGGUUAGCAUUAGCGAAGCUGAUAACUGAAGCCCUGGUGAACGGCGGCCGUAACGAUAACGGUCCAAGGUAGCGAAAUUCCUUGUCGGGUAAGUUCCGACCCGCACGAAAGGCGUAAUGAUUUGGAUACUGUCUCGGAGAGGGGCUCGGUGAAAUAGACUUGUCUGUGAAGAUGCGGACUACCUGCACCUGGACAGAAAGACCCUAUGAAGCUUUACUGUAACUUGAGAUUGAAAUUGGACUUUAUCUGCGCAGUAUAGGUGGGAGACGUUGAAAAUAUUCUUGCGGGAAUAUUGGAGUCAUCAGUGAGAUACCACUCUUAUAAUGUUAGAUUUCUAACUUUGUAUCAUUAUCUGGUCAAAGAACAGUUUCAGGCGGGCAGUUUGACUGGGGCGGUCGCCUCCCAAACGGUAACGGAGGCGCACAAAGGUUUCCUCUGAACGUGUAGAAAUCGUAUCUAGAGUGUAAAGGCAUAAGGAAGCUUGACUGUGAGACCUACAAGUCGAGCAGGGACGAAAGUCGGUCUUAGUGAUCUGACGGUGCUGAGUGGAAAGGCCGUCACUCAACGGAUAAAAGUUACUCUAAGGAUAACAGGCUGAUCUCCCCCAAGAGUUCACAUCGACGGGGAGGUUUGGCACCUCGAUGUCGGCUCAUCGCAUCCUGGGGCGGUAGUACGUCCCAAGGGUUGGGCUGUUCGCCCAUGAAAGCGGUACGCGAGCUGGGUUCAGAACGUCGUGAGACAGUUCGGUCCAUAUCCGGUGUAGGCGUUAGAAUAUUGAGAGGAGCCUUCUUUAGUACGAGAGGACCGAGAAGGACAUACCUCUAGUGUACCAGUUAUCGUGCCAACGGUAAACGCUGGGUAGCCAUGUAUGGAGAGGAUAACCGCUGAAAGCAUCUAAGUGGGAAGCCCACCUCAAGAUAAGUAUUCCC
rnacentral:rRNA from 1 species